AAAUUAUCCCGUCCCCUACGAUGCAGUUAUUCUUUAUAAUAAACCUUUUGUCAAGUAAGACAAAUUUAUAAUUUCUAAUGUUGUAGACCCACCAAUUGAAGCAUUUUUGUUUAACCUACACUAGAUAGUUCAAUUGACAAGGACUUUAUUUUGUGAUUUAAGAACCAAAUGAUAUCGUAUUCACCUAUUAAAGAGUGCAUUCUGUGUAAUUAUCAACAUAAAUGUGUCCUUCAAUGGUCAAAACCAAAUCAUAAAGGUACAAAGCACAAAAAAGAUAAACUUUUAUGAUACAAGUGUAAAAUUAAAAAUGCAAAAAUAGAAUCUCCCAAGUUCCCAAAUCCUAACGCACAGGCCAAGGGACCCCGAAAGGUGUGUUUAGGAGCCCCAGUGUGCAUCUUAGAGAU
rnacentral:misc_RNA from 1 species